AUCUGUGUUAGUGAGCACUUCUCCUUUGCCGAGAUAAUCCAUCCACCUCACAGGUGUGGCAUAUCAAGAUGCUGAUUAGACAGCAUGAUUAUUGCAUAGGUGUAUCUUAGGCUGGCCACAAUAAAAGGCCACUCUAAAAUGUGCAGCAUCUUGAUAUGACACACCUGUGAGGUGGAUGGAUUAUCUUGGCAAAGGAGAAGUGCUCACUAACAUAGAU
rnacentral:miRNA from 1 species